UACGUAGGGGGCUAGCGUUGUCCGGAAUCAUUGGGCGUAAAGCGCACGCAGGCGGUCUGCUAAGUUUGGAGUGACAGUUGGUGGCUUAACUGCCAAAGUGCUUCGAAAACUGACAGACUUGAGGGCUUCAGAGGGACACGGAAUUCCGGGUGGAGUGGUGAAAUGCGUAGAGAUCCGGAGGAACACCAAAGGCGAAGGCAGUGUCCUGGGGAGUACCUGACGCUCAGGUGCGAAAGCCAGGGGAGCGAACGGG
rnacentral:rRNA from 1 species